rnacentral:rRNA from 1 species
GCAGUGGGGAUUAUUAAACACUGGGCGCAAGCAUGAUCUAGCCAUGCCGUGUGAGUGACGAAGGCGUUGGGGUUGUAAAUCUCUUUCGCCAGGGAUGAUAAUGACUGUACCCACUAAAGAAGCCCCGUAUAUCUCCGUGCCCGCAGCCGCUAUAAUACGGAGGGCGCGAGUUUUUUUCAUAAUUACUGGGCGUAAAGCGCAUGUAGGCGGAUCAUAAUUUUAGGGGAAAAAUCCCGGUUCUCACCCCGAGAACUGCUUUUAAAACUGUUGGUUUAGAGUUCGAGAGAGGAGAGUGGAAUUCCGAGUGUAGAGGUAAAAUUUAGAGAUAUUGAGAAAAACACCAGUGGAGAAGGGGGCUCUGGGGCUCGAUAGACACUGUGAGGUGAAAGAGUGGGGGGCGCAAAGGGGAUGAUAUCCCGUUGUUUCCCACCCUGUAAACGGUGAACCCAGAUGUCGGGGAGCACCCCUUCGGUGUCGCAGCUAACGCAUAA